rnacentral:lncRNA from 1 species
CUCCGCGGGGCGCCGGCGUCUGCGCCAAGGCACGUUCUCCUGCUGCUCCAGAACUGCCACCUUCCAAGUCCUGAAGGAGGCCGUUUUCCUGUCAUUUGCACCUGGCCGGAGCCAUUCUGGAUGUUUUAAGGAAACGAGAAAACCAUUCUUUCCUCUUACCGGAUGAUGUGCGAUGUCAUUUGGAAACAAAGAAGGGCUCUGUUUCUUGGAGCCCCUGGGUUCUGUCUGCAAGAGGGGCAGUCAUGAGGCUUGCAAGAAUCUCCUGUGCGAACCUCUUCUGUGCAGACACCUUCCCACCCAACCUCAACAGAGCCCUGUGGGCCUCCCACGCUGUGUAAGUGCGCGGACUCAUCUGAGUGCCACUAGGGGACACAGCCCAGAUUCAAGCUGGGAUCCCCAUAAUAUGUGCACCUGCAGCCAGGUGUGCCUAUAGAACCACAAAUGCGACAGGCUGUAAAUGAAAAUACAGCAGAAUCAGAUCUGUCCAAUAAAUCCUGAUUGAAGGCCAGAACUGAAAGUAUUUCUUCUGAGGCUGAGAAAAAUUCCAUCUCAAACAUUGAAAGGGUAGAAAUAGGCAGUGAAGUCCUAGUGCCUGCUCUGUUUGGCCUUUCUGGGUUAAAAACAUACUUAAAAUUGAGUGACUCUGUUGUGGAAUAAAAUCCAAACAAUCUGGGUUGAAAAAGACUGCUUAGGGGUGUGUGGGUCACAGUGAUGCUAAGGGUAUUCUUUUUUUUUUUUUUUUUUUUUUUUGAGACGGAGUCUUGCUGUUUCGCCCAGGCCAGAGUGCAGUGGCGCUGUCUUGGCUCACUGCAAGCUCUGCCUCCCAGGUUCAUGCCAUUCUCCCGCCUCAGCCUCCCGAGUAGCUGGGACUACAGGCGCUUGCCACCGCGUCCGGCUAAUUUUUUGUAUUUUUAGUAGAGACGGGGUUUCACCAUGUUCGCCAGGAUGGUCUCGAUCUCCUGACCUCGUGAUCUGCCCGCCUCGGCCUCCCAAAGUGCUGGGAUUACAGGCAUGAGCCACUGCGCCCGGCCCGCUAAGGGUAUUCUUGAUAUCCGCUGGGAUAAUGUGACCACAGGACACCUUGCUUGCUUUCUCCAAGAAUCUCAAGAAGACUACAAACCCCAAGAAGGGAGGCAUCUUGUUCAAGAUCAUGUUGGGGAUAGAAGACAGAGUGAGAAUGAGAAAGCAGAGAUGUUCAUUUGUUUUAUGAACAUUUACUUAUCUGCCAAGGUCUGUAGCCCUGGCCUUCCCUGUGAAGAGCAGCAGCCUGAACCAACGUUCAGUGGCCGGGGCUGCCGAGCCAGGACCUUACGGGGCUGCAGCCUGUGCUGACCCAGGGCCUCCACAGUGCUUUGCUUGCAGAUCCCCC